rnacentral:rRNA from 1 species
UGCCUUACACAUGCAAGUCGGACGGCAGCGCGGGGGCAACCCUGGCGGCGAGUGGCGAACGGGUGAGUAAUACAUCGGAACGUGUCCUGGAGUGGGGGAUAGCCCGGCGAAAGCCGGAUUAAUACCGCAUACGAUCUGAGGAUGAAAGCGGGGGACCGAAAGGCCUCGCGCUCAAGGAGCGGCCGAUGGCGGAUUAGCUAGUUGGUGGGGUAAAGGCCCACCAAGGCGACGAUCCGUAGCUGGUCUGAGAGGACGACCAGCCACACUGGGACUGAGACACGGCCCAGACUCCUACGGGAGGCAGCAGUGGGGAAUUUUGGACAAUGGGGGCAACCCUGAUCCAGCAAUGCCGCGUGUGUGAAGAAGGCCUUCGGGUUGUAAAGCACUUUUGUCCGGAAAGAAAACUUUCGCCUGAAUACGGUGGAGGGAUGACGGUACCGGAAGAAUAAGCACCGGCUAACUACGUGCCAGCAGCCGCGGUAAUACGUAGGGUGCGAGCGUUAAUCGGAAUUACUGGGCGUAAAGCGUGCGCAGGCGGUGAUGUAAGACCGAUGUGAAAUCCCCGGGCUUAACCUGGGAACUGCAUUGGUGACUGCAUUGCUGGAGUAUGGCAGAGGGGGGUGGAAUUCCACGUGUAGCAGUGAAAUGCGUAGAGAUGUGGAGGAACACCGAUGGCGAAGGCAGCCCCCUGGGCCAAUACUGACGCUCAUGCACGAAAGCGUGGGGAGCAAACAGGAUUAGAUACCCUGGUAGUCCACGCCCUAAACGAUGUCAACUGGUUGUCGGGCCUUCAUUGGCUUGGUAACGUAGCUAACGCGUGAAGUUGACCGCCUGGGGAGUACGGUCGCAAGAUUAAAACUCAAAGGAAUUGACGGGGACCCGCACAAGCGGUGGAUGAUGUGGAUUAAUUCGAUGCAACGCGAAAA